rnacentral:rRNA from 1 species
UACGGAGGGUGCAAGCGUUAUCCGGAUUUACUGGGCUUAAAGGGUGCGCAGGCGGCUAUGUAAGUCAGUGGUGAAAUCUCCGGGCUUAACCCGGAAACUGCCGUUGAUACUAUAUAUCUUGAAUGCCGUGGAGGUAAGCGGAAUAUGUCAUGUAGCGGUGAAAUGCUUAGAUAUGACAUAGAACACCUAUUGCGAAGGCAGCUUACUACACGGAGAUUGACGCUCAUGCACGAAAGCGUGGGGAUCAAACAGG